GAUGAAGAACGCAGCAAAAUGCGAUAAGUAAUGUGAAUUGCAGAAUUCAGUGAAUCAUCGAAUCUUUGAACGCUCAUUGCGCCCGCCAGUAUUCUGGCGGGCAUGCCUGUUCGAGCGUCAUUUCAACCCUCAAGCCCUCGGGUUUGGUGUUGGGGAUCGGCGAGCCUUUCUGGCAAGCCGGCCCCGAAAUCUAGUGGCGGUCUCGCUGCAGCCUCCAUUGCGUAGUAGUAAAACCCUCGCAACUGGAACGCGGCGCGGCCAAGCCGUUAAACCCCCAACUUCUGAAUGUUGACCUCGGAUCAGGUAGGAAUACCCGCUGAACUUAAGCAUAUCAAUAAGCGGAGGA
rnacentral:misc_RNA from 1 species